UGUUUCAGGUCACCACUCGUCUGUCAGCUGUGGAAACGUUGCCCACAAACCGCCUGCUGAACCAUGGUGCUCGAUACAUGCAGGAUAACUUUUCAACCUGGGUGCAGGACCAAGGAGGAUAUGAUGCAGCGUUUGAUGAAACUGAGGAAGUCGACUGAGCAGAAGGGACGUGGUUUACAAGCUCCACAGCUCCCCCUGUUGGCCAAAACCUGCAUGGACUGUAGCUUCAGGAGCUGCUAACAUUAACAAUUAACUCUAACAACACAACAGGACAUCUUGGAACUAUACAGAGAAUAAAAAUGAGUUUACAGACUGCAAAACAUCAGAGCCAAUUUCUCACAGAUCAUGUAAUAGUUUUUAUAUUUAAGUUUCAGUGAGAUUUAAAUAAGACAUUUCUUAAGACAUUUGUUUUUUACAUGUCUUAAAUUGUUUUUGUAUAAAUGCAUUACAUGUUUUGCAAACUUAUGCACUGAUUUUUUUUAUUUUUUUUUAUUUUUUUUGUGAUCUGAUGGACCAGCACAUUGAAUUAAAAAAGGGAAAGUUGAAUAAUGAAGCACUUGCACUUUUCCCUUUAAAAAAACAAAAAAGCCCCCAAACAAAUUGAACAGCAGUGACAAAGCAUUCAUGUGUUUCUAAUGUUGUUUACUAUUGUUUCUAAUAUUUUCACACAAAAAAAGAACUCAGGAGGAGACACGGAUCCCUGUGGCAUUUUCAUAUGGAAGUAAAUAUCUGUUAAACAUGUGAAGAAAGGCCCCUGCUUAUCUGGGGAAAAAGUAGCAGCCAAAGAAAGUUUGUAUCUGUGUCCUGUAACAGAUUUUCAGUAUGUAAAGGGAAUAUGACUAUGGAGGGGGGAAAAAAGCUCAGGUUAAUUAAAAUCAGUCUUUGUUUGUAU